CAACAUCACAAACCCUGCACGUGGUUGAUCGUCAUCAAGUAGAACCGACUAAGAAUUAAAUAAGUAAAAAGGGAUGGAAAAAAAUAUUGGCGCUGAUAUCGCGGCGGCAAAAAAAAUCGAAAAAUUAACUUCAUCAACGAAAAAGAAAAAUGGUCCCAGGUGUUGGAUUCUGCGUGUACAAGCUUCUUUUAACCAAAAUCCUCCAUGUGAGGUAGUCAUUCAAAUUGGAAGGGGAAGAAUUUGUUGUGGCAAAGAUUUGCGUAUACAAUUCGACCAAAUCACAAGUCAUGAAGUGCUGGGCAAUAUGGUGAAGAUUCAUUUUCAAUCAAAGCUUUUCGGAGAUAACUUUGUAAGACUGGAUUUUGAAGAUCAAAGUUGUACAGACAUGUUCCUCCCAUUUUUUAUCACAAAUUACAACCACGACAGUCCAAGUCCCCCAGUCUCAGAGGGCUCAUCAGAAGAGUGAAGUGCAAAUUAUAACUAAU